UCAGGUGGAUGGUUCCGAUAUGUCUGGCAGGUAGUUCCAGAGUGUCUGGCAGGUUGUUCAGGCCUGUCUGUCAGCUGGUCCAGUUGCAUCCAGCACAUGGUCCAGGCAUGGCGGUCCCGUGGUCUAGGCAUUUCUGAAAUGAGGUUCUGACAUGUCCUAAAGGUGGUUUGGAUGUGUCUGGCAUCUGAUUCAGGCCUCUCUGGGAGGUUCUUUGGGGGUUUCUGGCAGGUGGUCUGGGUGUUCCCGGCAAGUGUUUCGGCCUGUCCGGCAUGUUCUUCGGGUGUGUUAGGCCUGGGUUUCCGUGGUGUCCAGCAGGCGGUUCGAGCCUGUCUGGCACCUGUGUCUGGUGUGUUCAGCAAGUGGUUCUCGCAUGUCCAUCAGAUGGUUACGGCGUGUCCAGCAAUUCAUUCAGGCUUGUCUGUCACUUGGUUCAGUCAUGUCUGGCACCUGGUUCCGGCAUGUGUGACAUCUGUUUCUGGCGUAUCCAGCAGGUGGCCCCAGCAUGUCUGGCAGGUGGUUCAGUCAUGUCUGGCAUCUGGUUUCGGUGUGUGCAACACCUUUUUCUAGUGUAUCCGGAAGGUGAUUCCAGCGUGUCCAGCAGGUGGCUCCCGCAGGUCUGGAAGGUGGUUCAGGCAUGUCCAGCAGGUGGUUCUGGCCUUAGGGCACCAGAUUCUGCCGUGUCUAGCACCUGGUUCUGGCAUAUUCGGCAGGUGGUUUCAGUGUAUCCAGCACUUGGUUCUGGCAUAUCCAAGAGGUGGUUCCAGCAUGUCUGGCAGGUGGUUCAGGCUUGUCCGGCAGUUGGUUCAGUCGUGUCCAGUACCUCGUUCCAGCGUGUGCAACACCUGUUUCUGGCAUAUCUGGUAGGUAGUUCUGGUGUGUCCAGCAGUUGGUUCACGCAAGUCUGGCAGGUGGUUCAGGCGUGUCCAGCCGUUGGUUCUGGCGUGUCGGGCAACUGGUUCUGGCGUGCCCACAUGAGGUUCCGGAAUGUCCAUAAAUUGGUUCAGGCUGGUGCAGCCAGUGGUUCAGCCUAGUCCUGCAGCAGCUGCAGGUUUGUCCAGCACCUGAUUCUGACCUGUGCAGAACCUGUUUCUGGCAUAUCUGGCAGAUGGUUCCAGUGUGUCCA
rnacentral:lncRNA from 1 species